UACGUAGGUGGCAAGCGUUGUCCGGAUUUAUUGGGUUUAAGGGGUGCGUAGGCGGCCUUGUAAGUCAGUGCUGAAAUACCCCGGCUUAACCGGGGGGGUGGCAUUGAUACUGCAGGGCUUGAGUACAGAUGAGGUAGGCGGAAUUGACGGUGUAGCGGUGAAAUGCAUAGAUAUCGUCAAGAACACCGAUAGCGAAGGCAGCUUACUGGGCUGUAACUGACGCUGAUGCACGAAAGUGUGGGGAUCAAACAGG
rnacentral:rRNA from 1 species